GAUGAACGCUGGCGGCGUGCCUAAUACAUGCCAGUCGAGCGAACGGACGAGAAGCUUGCUCCUCUGAUGUUAGCGGCGGACGGGUGAGUAACACGUGGAUAACCUACCUAUAAGACUGGGAUAACUUCGGGAAACCGGAGCUAAUACCGGAUAAUAUUUUGAACCGCAUGGUUCAAUAGUGAAAGACGGUUUUGCUGUCACUUAUAGAUGGAUCCGCGCUGCAUUAGCUAGUUGGUAAGGUAACGGCUUACCAAGGCAACGAUGCAUAGCCGACCUGAGAGGGUGAUCGGCCACACUGGAACUGAGACACGGUCCAGACUCCUACGGGAGGCAGCAGUAGGGAAUCUUCCGCAAUGGGCGAAAGCCUGACGGAGCAACGCCGCGUGAGUGAUGAAGGUCUUCGGAUCGUAAAACUCUGUUAUUAGGGAAGAACAUAUGUGUAAGUAACUGUGCACAUCUUGACGGUACCUAAUCAGAAAGCCACGGCUAACUACGUG
rnacentral:rRNA from 1 species